rnacentral:lncRNA from 1 species
UUCCUGUCGGAGUCAGACGAGAAUUACAACGGCGUCUCCGACGUGGAGCUGCGGGUGGCGCUCCCGGACGUCACCACGGUGACAGUGAGGGUGAAGAAGAACAGCACCACGGACCAGGUGUACCAGGGAAUUCCUGGCAAUGCCCGGCUGGCGCUGAUCCCGUUUUCCCGGCGUUUUCCAGGCGGUGGCUGCCAAGGUGGGCAUGGACAGCGUCACCGCCAACUACUUCGCCCUCUUCGAGGUCAUCAACCACUCCUUCGGUGAGCCCGGAAUUCUGUGGGAUUUAGGGAAAAAAAAUUAAAAAAAAAAGCUGGGAAAAAACAAAAAAUGGAGGGAUCUGCAGGUCUUUGGGGUGGGAUUGUGGGAUUUGUGGGGCUCCUGCCAUCCCAAGCUGCUGCAGCCUCGUUUGGGAUGAUUCCAUGAUUUUUCUGGGAUUUUUUUCCCUGCUUUUCCCA